rnacentral:rRNA from 1 species
GACGAACGUUGGCGGCGUGCUUAAUACAUGCAAGUCAACUGAAGCAGUGGUAGCAAUAUCGCUGUGGAGGUGGCGCACGGGGGAGUAACACGUAGGUAAUCUGCCUUCAGGUCUGGCAUAACUCCGGGAAACCGGGGCUAAUAGCAGAUGAUGCAGCGGCUCGACAUCGAGACAGUUGUUAAAGCUAUGGCGCCGGAAGAUGAGCCUGCGUCUGAUUAGCUAGUUGGCGGGGUAACGGCCCACCAAGGCAACGAUCAGUAGCUGGUCUGAGAGGAUGAUCAGCCACACUGGAACUGAGACACGGUCCAGACUCCUACGGGAGGCAGCAGUAAGGAAUAUUGCUCAAUGGGAGAAAUCCUGAAGCAGCAACGCCGCGUGAGGGACGAAGGGCUUUUGCUUGUAAACCUCUGUAGUGAGAGAAAAAAAUCCCAAUCUUUGGGACAUGAUGGUAUCUCAAAAGUAAGCCCCGGCUAACUACGUG